GAUGAACGCUGGCGGCGUGCCUAAUACAUGCAAGUCGAGCGAACAGACGAGGAGCUUGCUCCUCUGACGUUAGCGGCGGACGGGUGAGUAACACGUGGAUAACCUACCUCUAAGACUGGGAUAACUUCGGGAAACCGGAGCUAAUACCGGAUAAUAUAUUGAACCGCAUGGUUCAAUAGUGAAAGACGGUUUUGCUGUCACUUAUAGAUGGAUCCGCGCUGCAUUAGCUAGUUGGUAAGGUAACGGCUUACCAAGGCAACGAUGCGUAGCCGACCUGAGAGGGUGAUCGGCCACACUGGAACUGAGACACGGUCCAGACUCCUACGGGAGGCAGCAGUAGGGAAUCUUCCGCAAUGGGCGAAAGCCUGACGGAGCAACGCCGCGUGAGUGAUGAAGGUCUUCGGAUCGUAAAACUCUGUUAUUAGGGAAGAACAAAUGUGUAAGUAACUAUGCACGUCUUGACGGUACCUAAUCAGAAAGCCACGGCUAACUACGUG
rnacentral:rRNA from 1 species